rnacentral:miRNA from 1 species
UGAGGGAGGAGGGCUGGGUCUGA